rnacentral:rRNA from 1 species
UCCACGCCCUAAACGAUGAACACUAGUCGUCGGGAUGCUAGUCAUCUCGGUGAUGCACUUAACAGAUUAAGUGUUCCGCCUGGGGAGUACGGUCGCAAGAUUAAAACUCAAAGGAAUAGACGGGGACCCGCACAAGUGGUGGAGCAUGUGGUUUAAUUCGAAAAUACGCGAAGAACCUUACCUAGCCUUGACGUUGAAGAAAUAGACCAGAGAUGGACUAGUGCCCUUUCGGGGGAAACUCGAAACGAAACGUGG